GCCAUGCGCCUGUAGUCCCAGCUACUAGGGAGGCUGAGGCAGGAGAAUCGCUUAAACCCGGGAGGUGGAGGUUGCAGUGAGCCAAGAUAGCGCCGCUGCACUCCCGCCUGGGUGAAAGAGUGAGACUCUAAAAAAAAAAAAAUAGGAAACCAAAGCCCAGUCCGGACACGACGCUCACGCCUGUAAUCCCAGCUACUCGGGAGGCGGAGGCAGGAAAAUCGCUUGAACCUGGGAUGAGGAGGUUGCAGUGAGCCAAGAUCAUACCACUGCACUCCAGCCUGGGCAACAGAGGGAGACUCUGUCUCAAAAAUAAAAAAUAUAAUAAAAAACAAAGCCCAGAGAGGUGCAGGCACUUACCCAAGGUCACGCGGCAAGUGACUGAAAGGGGUAGGACAGGG
rnacentral:lncRNA from 1 species